UACGUAGGGUGCGAGCGUUGCCCGGAUUUAUUGGGCGUAAAGGGCGCGUAGGCGGCCUUCUAAGUCGAACGUGAAAUCCCCGGGCUCAACCCGGGAACUGCGUCCGAUACUGGAAGGCUUGAAUCCGGGAGAGGGAUGUGGAAUUCCAGGUGUAGCGGUGAAAUGCGUAGAUAUCUGGAGGAACACCGGUGGCGAAGGCGACAUCCUGGACCGGUAUUGACGCUGAGGCGCGAAAGCCAGGGGAGCAAACGGG
rnacentral:rRNA from 1 species